UGCUACGGCCAUGCCACCCUGAAUGUGCCUGAUCUCAUCUGAUCUCGGAAGGUAAGCAGGCUCGGGCCUGGUUAGUACUUAGCCGGGAGACCACCUUGGAAUAUCAGGCACUGUAGGUG
rnacentral:rRNA from 1 species